rnacentral:rRNA from 1 species
AUUGAACGCUGGCGGCAGGCCUAACACAUGCAAGUCAAACGAGUGGGGGACGGGUGAGUAAUGUCUGGGAAACUGCCUGAUGGAGGGGGGGAAAUAUUGGAAACGGUAGAUAAUACAGCAUACCCUCAGAUGUGCCCAGAUGGGCUUAGCUAGUAGGGGGGGUAACGCCUCCCCUAGGCGACGAUCCCUAGCUGGUCUGAGAGGAUGACCAGCCACACUGGAACUGAGACACGGUCCAGACUCCUACGGGAGGCAGCAGUGGGGAAUAUUGCACAAUGGGCGCAAGCCUGAUGCAGCCAUGCCGCGUGUAUGAAGAAGGCCUUCGGGUUGUAAAGUACUUUCAGCGGGGAGGCGUUACCCGCAGAAGAAGCACCGGCUAACUCCGUGCCAGCAGCCGCGGUAAUAC